GAAACCAACAGGGAUUGCCUCAGUAACGGCGAGUGAAGCGGCAAAAGCUCAAAUUUGAAAUCUAGCACUUUCAGUGUUCGAGUUGUAAUUUGAAGAAGGUAACUUUGGUUUUGGCUCUUGUCUAUGUUCCUUGGAACAGGACGUCACAGAGGGUGAGAAUCCCGUGCGAUGAGAUGCCCAAUUCCAUGUAAAGUGCUUUCGAAGAGUCGAGUUGUUUGGGAAUGCAGCUCUAAGUGGGUGGUAAAUUCCAUCUAAAGCUAAAUAUUGGCGAGAGACCGAUAGCGAACAAGUACAGUGAUGGAAAGAUGAAAAGAACUUUGAAAAGAGAGUGAAAAAGUACGUGAAAUUGUUGAAAGGGAAGGGCUUGAGAUCAGACUUGGUAUUUUGCGUUCCCUUCCUUUUUGGUUGGGUUCCUCGCAGUUUACUGGGCCAGCAUCGGUUUGGAUGGUAGGAUAAUGACAUUGGAAUGUAGCUUUACUUCGGUGAAGUGUUAUAGACUUUGUUGAUACUGCCUAUCUAGACCGAGGACUGCGU
rnacentral:rRNA from 1 species